CUAUAUGCUUUGAUGGACACAUG
rnacentral:siRNA from 1 species